rnacentral:rRNA from 1 species
GACGAACGCUGGCGGUGUGCUUAACACAUGCAAGUCGAACGGUAAGGCCCUUUCGGGGGUACACGAGUGGCGAACGGGUGGGUAACACGUGAGUAACCUGCCCUCAUCUCUGGGAUAACAGUCGGAAACGGUUGCUAAUACUGGAUAUGAGCUUGCAAGGCAUCUUGUGGGUUGGAAAGAUUUUUUUGGUUGGGGAUGGACUCGCGGCCUAUCAGCUUGUUGGUGGGGUAGUGGUUCACCAAGGCUUCGACGGGUAGCCGGCCUGAGAGGGCGACCGGCCACAUUGGGACUGAGAUACGGCCCAAACUCCUACGGGAGGCAGCAGUGGGGAAUAUUGCACAAUGGACGGAAGUCUGAUGCAGCAACGCCGCGUGCGGGAUGACGGCCUUCGGGUUGUAAACCGCUUUCAAUUGUGACGAAGCUUUUUGUGACGGUAGCAGUAGAAGAAGCACCGGCUAACUACGUG